UACAUGUGGGGCAAGCGUUGUUCGGAAUUACUGGGCGUAAAGCGUGCGUAGACGGUAGCGUAAGUCAGAUGUGAAAGCCCCGGGCUCAACCUGGGAAUUGCAUUUGAGACUGCUCUGCUCGGGUGCGGAAGAGGGAAGCGGAAUUUCCGGUGUAGCGGUGAAAUGCGUAGAUAUCGGAAGGAACACCAGUGGCGAAAGCGGCUUCCUGGUCCGACACCGACGUUCAGGCACGAAAGCGUGGGGAGCAAACAGG
rnacentral:rRNA from 1 species